rnacentral:rRNA from 1 species
AACGAACGCUGGCGGCAUGCCUAACACAUGCAAGUCGAACGAGGCCUUCGGGUCUAGUGGCGCACGGGUGCGUAACGCGUGGGAACCUGCCCUUAGGUUCGGCAUAACUCCCCGAAAGGGGUGCUAAUACCGGAUAAUGUCUUCGGACCAAAGAUUUAUCGCCUUUGGUUGGGCCCGCGUUGGAUUAGCUCGUUGGUAGGGUAAAAGCCUACCAAGGCGACGAUCCAUAGCUGGUCUGAGAGGAUGAUCAGCCACACUGGGACUGAGACACGGCCCAGACUCCUACGGGAGGCAGCAGUGGGGAAUAUUGGACAAUGGGCGAAAUCCUGAUCCAGCAAUGCCGCGUGAGUGAUGAAGGCCUUAGGGUUGUAAAGCUCUUUUACCCGGGAUGAUAAUGACAGUACCGGGAGAAUAAGCUCCGGCUAACUCCGUG